UAAGCGGGGAUAGCUCAGUUGGGAGAGCGUCAGACUGAAGAUCUGAAGGUCACGUGUUCGAUCCACGUUCACCGCAAUUGCCGUGCACCACAAGGUUCUCUUUUUAAUUAUGAGUAACUUUCAAGUACUAAAUUGAUUGUUUUAGUUAGUAUUGAUUCAGGACGAUAAGCUUCUGUC